CAGUUUCUCUAGACCUCGUACAGGGGAGUAGUUCCUCACCCAGAGGACAUGGUGGGCAUCCGUAUAUGAUGCAUGCAGAGGCACAAACAGAACACUUGUCAAAUGACAGAUACUCUAUAGAUACUGUGAUGUUUAUACACUUUAGUCCACCCCCAAAGGCACCCAUCCUCCUCUUUCCAGACUGGAGAUGAAGCCAGCGAGGCAAUUCUCCCAACCACGGCUCUGGCACCAGCUUCUGCGGCCUGUUGCGUGUGGAUGUGCCAUAGACCCAUCAAUUGGAAGACAAGGAUGUGUUCCCAGCACCUUUCAUUUCAGAGGGAAGGAAAGCACCAGACACAUCGUCCUGAGAUCUGUGAUUCUGGAGUGUGCGACAGAAGCUUUUGACAAAGAGGUGAAAGCAGUUAGUUAAAACCUGGCCCAACAAGUGGAAGAACAAGUGAUACACUCUAGGAACGGUCACCACAAGGGAUAACCUACACGAGGAACCUCCCUCGAGAGAACCCAGAAGAAGCUCUCACCAGAACACCAGCAGGAGAGCCACAGUUCAGAGGGCAACCACUUCAGACACAUGCCCUCGCUGUAAGUAGGCCUCGGUCUAUAUCUCAGUGGCUGAUGGUGAUAUCAAGUUCAUGCUCAGUUUUUACAAGCUAACAAAAAUAUAUAUAAAAGCUCUCCUCAAAUAAAUGCAUAUUGUACUCUAAAUACACAAAGAUCAUUUCAUUUUUAUUUUAAGCUUUUAUUUUAGGUUCAAGGGUACAUGUGCACAUUUGUUAUAUAGGUCAACUGUGCCACGGGGGUUUGUUGUACAGAUUUUGUCACCUAGGUACUAACUAAGCCUACUACCCAAUAGUUAUUUUUUCUGCUCCUCUCCCUCCUCCCAGCCUCCACCCCCAGGUA
rnacentral:lncRNA from 10 species